UGAGGGUUGCUGGAGGUAUCAGAAGUGCGAAUGCUGACAUAAGUAACGAUAAAGCGGGUGAAAAGCCCGCUCGCCGGAAGACCAAGGGUUCCUGUCCAACGUUAAUCGGGGCAGGGCGAGUCGACCCCUAAGGCGAGGCCGAAAGGCGUAGUCGAUGGGAAACAGGUUAAUAUUCCUGUACUUGGUGUUACUGCGAAGGGGGGACGGAGAAGGCUAUGUUAGCCGGGCGACGGUUGUCCCGGUUUAAGCAUGUAGGCGGAGGUUCCAGGUAAAUCCGGUUCCUUUUAACGCUGAGGUGUGAUGACGAGGCACUACGGUGCUGAAGUAACAAAUGCCCUGCUUCCAGGAAAAGCCUCUAAGCAUCAGGUAACAUUAAAUCGUACCCCAAACCG
rnacentral:rRNA from 1 species